GUUUCUAUGGUGUAUUUAUUUUAGCACAUUAGAUUUUCAUUUUAAAGGAAUAGAAUAAUAUCUAUUAGAAAUA
rnacentral:tRNA from 1 species